CUGACGGGCAGGAUGGAGUUGGAGGAGGACGAGGGGGAUGUCUCCGGCUCGGAGGAUGAGGAGCAGGAGGACGCACACUUGGGGCUAGCCUGGUUGUAGAAACCUUUACCUGGUAAUUUUGUGCCGACGUGUGCAAUCCGCCUUCGGUACCAAAUCAGGUACAAGGCUCCUUUGUGUGACUUUGUGCGUGACUUUGCAUGGAUGCAUAAGGGUUGUCUUGUUUC